rnacentral:rRNA from 1 species
AUACGUAGGGGGCGAGCGUUGUCCGGAAUGACUGGGCGUAAAGGGCGUGUAGGCGGUUGUCUAAGUCUGGAGUGAAAGUCCUGCUUUCAAGGUGGGAAUAGCUUUGGAUACUGGAUGACUUGAGUGCGGAAGAGGUAAGUGGAAUUCCCAGUGUAGCGGUGAAAUGCGUAGAGAUUGGGAGGAACACCAGUGGCGAAGGCGACUUACUGGGCCGCAACUGACGCUGAGGCGCGAAAGCGUGGGGAGCGAACAGGAUUAGAUACCCUGGUAGUCCACGCGGUAAACGAUGAAUGCUAGGUGUUGCGGGUAUCGACCCCUGCAGUGCCGGAGUAAACACAAUAAGCAUUCCGCCUGGGGAGUACGGCCGCAAGGUUGAAACUCAAAGGAAUUGACGGGG